rnacentral:rRNA from 1 species
GUAUGCGAUCAUACCAGCACUAAAGCACCGGAUCCCAUCAGAACUCCGAAGUUAAGCGUGCUUGGGCGAGAGUAGUACUAGGAUGGGUGACCUCCUGGGAAGUCCUCGUGUUGCAUCCC